AUAACACACUCAUUUCCUCUAUCU
rnacentral:siRNA from 1 species